AUUGAACGCUGGCGGCAGGCCUAACACAUGCAAGUCGAGCGAGUGGCGGACGGGUGAGUAAUGUCUGGGGAACUGCCUGAUGGAGGGGGAUAACUACUGGAAACGGUAGCUAAUACCGCAUACCAUCAGAUGUGCCCAUAUGGGAUUAGCUAGUAGGUGGGGUAACGGCUCACCUAGGCGACGAUCCCUAGCUGGUCUGAGAGGAUGAUCAGCCACACUGGAACUGAGACACGGCCCAGACUCCUACGGGAGGCAGCAGUGGGGAAUAUUGCACAAUGGGCGCAAGCCUGAUGCAGCCAUGCCGCGUGUGUGAAGAAGGCCUUCGGGUUGUAAAGCACUUUCAGUCGGGAGGCGUUACCGGCAGAAGAAGCACCGGCUAACUCCGUGCCAGCAGCCGCGGUAAUUC
rnacentral:rRNA from 1 species